rnacentral:lncRNA from 1 species
AGCGCCCUCCUCCCGAGGAGACUCGCCCAGGCGCUGCCCGCCGCCCGCCGCCACCAUGUCCGAAAUCCUGCCCUACAACGACGACAAAGUGGCCCAUUAUGGCACCGACUCGGAAGUCAGCGACAUCUCCUUCAGCUGCCGCCUCCAGGACACCAACUCCUGGGGCAACCAGUCCAAGCGGCCCCCGAAGCUGGGCCAGAUCGGGCGAGCCAAGCGAGCGGUGAUCGAAGAUGAUAGAAUAGACGAGGUGCUGAAGGGGAUGACAGACAAGUCGCCUUCCGGGGUAUAAAUUCCGCUGCAACCAAAGGCGCCUGCACCCGGCUGCAGGCUGACCCCUGAAAAUUUUUUAGCACUUUUGGCUGCGCAUGUUUGUUGGGAUUGUGGACAACAAGGGAAAGCGAAGAAGAGAAGGAGAUGAGGCUGCUGGCAACAACACCCUCCACCCCCAACGCAGACCCCAACCCGACGAGGGAUCACUGAUGGGGGGGGUCCACCAUCUCACCCUCCUCCGCCUCCAGCGGAGAGCCAAGGGGCAAACAAGUCAACCAACAAGCCAACCAACAAGCCAACACAAAGAGACCUUGUCACCCAACUCUGUCCUGAUUACCAACCACCGGUACCACCGCCGCCGCCACUACCACUCGCGCACGAUGCCCAACCCCGGAGCAGCUGCAUCUUCAACCACCCCUUCCAGAAGGGAGCGCCCUCUCUUUGCGUUGGAGCGGAAGGCAGUUCUUGCGCCUUGGAGAGCUGUCCGUUUCAGCACCACCGCCCCGCGCGCGACGGUGGGUCCGCGCCUGGCCCCCCGUCUCCCGAGACGCGCCCGCAGAUGGGGGAGCUGUCCGGUUCAGCACCAUCCUUGGGAUGCUUUGCCUUGCCUAGCCGUCCGAGGGGGGGCAGCCCCUUUUCGUGAGCACUUGCUGAAGUGCUGCCUGUAUUUUUUUGUUUCCACCCCCCCUCGCCUUCCCGAACCUUCUCUUCCCGCAUCCUUCUCUCUACCCCUUGUCUCCAUCGCGCUCGCUCUCUCCCCUGCGUUCUUAGGAUCCAGCCUGCAACAGCGUCAAGUCCCCUCUUUGGGUCACCCCCAAUGCCACGAUCUGAAGCAGACUCAUCCACGUCCUCAGCCAUCACUUCAGUAUUUCGAACCAACAACUACUCCGCAAUACAUGGUAGCGCUCUCCCCCCUCACUCAAGCCACCUGUAAUACCCAGUCCGUUUGCAAAAUACCAGCAGUUUGGAAGCAAACCCAACGCCAGCAGUGCUGAGUGGAAGACAGAGAGGUUCUGACGCAGAUGAACUAUACUAUUAAAAGACAGUGAUUGUUUUUUGCUGCCGAGAGACAUUUUUGCUCCAUCUUUUUUUGCAUGAGCUUCCUGGUCUUGGUGCCACGUCUUGGUGCCACGAGUCAUCCCACUAUGGCACGCUUCUUUUUAACAG